rnacentral:lncRNA from 1 species
CCUCUUUUAUCAGCCUACCAGUAUCCAUGGGGAUCCAUAGGGGUCCCCACUACACGUGAACCAUUUAUCUUAACAACUUAAUUCCAGGGCCAUCCCCAUACCCCGUCCGGUAUGGGCGCCAAAACAAUAAACCUCAAUACCCCGUCCGGUAUGAGGGUGAAGCGAGCCGUCCCCAUACCCCAUCCGGUAUGAGCACUAAAAUAUUUAAAGUCUCUAUACCCCAUCCGGUAUGAGACAACGUUCUCAGUAGGAUUCCCUAUGGACCCGGUCCGUCCACCAUCUCCUAGGAUAUCUAGUGAGGCUGUCAACUUACCCAAUUAUCAAUUCAAUCCCAUUCCUUUUUAUCCUUAUUCUUCGUUACCC